rnacentral:misc_RNA from 1 species
UCUCCGUAGGUGAACCUGCGGAGGGAUCAUUACAGAGUUCAUGCCCUACCGGGUAGAUCUCCCACCCUAUGUUAUUAUUACUUUGUUGCUUUGGCGGGCCGUUAGGCUCCGGCCCGACUACCGGCCCCGGCUGGUAAGCGCCCCCCAGAGGACCCAAAACCCUGAAUAUUAGUGUCGUCUGAGUACUAUAUAAUAGUUAAAACUUUCAACAACGGAUCUCUUGGUUCUG